UUAGCUAGUAGGUGGGGUAACGGGCUCACCUAGGCGACGAUCCCUAGCUGGUCUGAGAGGAUGACCAGCCACACUGGAACUGAGACACGGUCCAGACUCCUACGGGAGGCAGCAGUGGGGAAUAUUGCACAAUGGGCGCAAGCCUGAUGCAGCCAUGCCCGCGUGUAUGAAGAAGGCCUUCGGGUUGUAAAGUACUUUCAGCGGGGAGGAAGGGAGUAAAGUUAAUACCUUUGCUCAUUGACGUUACCCGCAGAAGAAGCACCGGCUAACUCCGUG
rnacentral:rRNA from 1 species